rnacentral:rRNA from 1 species
CGGCAACAGCUCAAAUUUGAAAUCUGAAGCCUUCGGCUUUCGAGUUGUAAUUUGUAGAGGAUGCUUCGGUUGUGGCCCCGGCCUAAGUUCCUUGGAACAGGACGUCGCAGAGGGUGAGAAUCCCGUACGCGGCCGGCGGCUUACUUCCAUGUGUAGCUCCUUCGAA